rnacentral:rRNA from 1 species
CCUACGGGUGGCAGCAGUGGGGGAUAUUGCACAAUGGGGGAAACCCUGAUGCAGCGACGCCGCGUGGGUGAAGAAGCGCCUCGGCGCGUAAAGCUCUGUCAGCAGGGAAGAAAAUGACGGUACCUGCAGAAGAAGCCCCGGCUAACUACGUGCCAGCAGCCGCGGUAAUACGUAGGGGGCAAGCGUUAUCCGGAUUUACUGGGUGUAAAGGGGGCGCAGACGGCGAUGCAAGCCAGGAGUGAAAGCCCGGGGCCCAACCCCGGGACUGCUCUUGGAACUGCGUGGCUGGAGUGCAGGAGGGGCAGGCGGAAUUCCUGGUGUAGCGGUGAAAUGCGUAGAUAUCAGGAGGAACACCGGUGGCGAAGGCGGCUUGCUGGGCUUCAACUGACGUUGAGGCCCGAAAGCGUGGGGAGCAAACAGGAUUAGAUACCCUUGUAGUC